GGCAAGGGGAACCGUUCAGCAAACCCCGCUUUCCUCGGCGGGGCGCAGGGGCCGGCGGGCGACGCCUGCACACACUCGGCUUUGCGAAGUACAGAGCGCCCGGGCCGAGUGGCGCCCGGGGUGGAGGAGAUCCUACCCGCCCAGCCCUCCUUCGGCCCGGCGGAGAGGGAGUGGGGUGCGCCCCGCCCGCCCCCAGCCCGACUCCGCUGGAAACCUGGGCUCCUCGAGCGCGCGGGGCGGGGAUGCUGCGGGGGCCGGCGGGGCCCCGGGGCAGGUGCUAGGCAAAUGCUCUACCCCUGAGCCACACCACCAGCCUGUACUGCUCAUUUGGAGAUGAAGAUGAAACCUUCCUAACCUCCCCUCCUUUAAAUCCUAAAGAAUUGUCUGCUAGAAAUAAUCCUCGCCCUCCUCAUGCCUAUAAUCCAAGCACUAGGGAGGCUGAGGCAGGAGGAUUACAGCAAGUGUGAGGCCAGCCUGGACUAUAUAGUGGGAUCCUGUCUCAAAAGACAAACAAAAAACAAACACAAAAGCCAAAUGUAGGCAGCAGGAGGGCUGCUAUAUUCUGAGUGCUCCUUCGUGUCAUAAAUCGUCCCUGCUGGUUUGGCAGAGAGAGAAGAGGAAGCCAUUUAUAUCUGGGAGUUGGGAGGAAGGGGCGUGUCUCAGCCAGGUCAGAAGCUGCGGUUUCUGGGUCCGACAAGCAGUGAAGCGGCAGAGCCCAGAGCUUGUGCUACGUGUCAGGCAGCCAGCACUGCUGCAGGCCCCAGGGGCACAGGGGACAGCCGAGGACCAGAUCACCGAAGCACUGCCUCUUAAAGCAGCUCUCGGCUGCCCCUCAGUCAAACCGAGACUGCAGGCUUUGUGGGAGUAGCUGGGGACACAGCGUGAAGUUAGGUGCAGGGAACCAGCCACCUGAUGGUGGGGAAGGCAGUAGCCAGAGUCUGCCGUUUAUUAGACCACAGACACGAACAAAGGCUUUCGGUCACCCUGGACUUCACCUGCCUCCCAGAGUGUUGUUGGCUCUCAGCUCUGCCUGGUGGAAAGAGCUCAGUUUCUAAUCGUCAGUCCUCUAAUUAAAGAACUUGCUGUGCUGUUGGAUUGCCCCCUGCCUGCUUGGCUAGCUGGGCCCACGGUGACAGCGAUUACCCUGUACCUCUGAAUUUCAUGUCCAAUAAAAAGCAGUAUUUUGCAUC
rnacentral:lncRNA from 1 species